AGCAUUCUUUUGCUGUGAUAUAGAUGAGAGUUCCCUUUGAUUGCACUGUGACAUGACCGUACAUGUUGGAGGUAAAAGAACCCAUGGAAGAUAUCUGCUGUUGAGGCAGAGGGUUGAGUUCCCAGGGGACAAACCCAUUCCUUUGGGAGUGCAGGCCUUGCAACCUACAGAACCAAUUGAAUUUAGUAGGUAACAGACUCAACUGCCUAAAUUGACAACGAAUGAGAAACUGCAAAACCACAGGUCUCUCCUGUUCCAGUGCUAGACGCUAACACAGAAGAUCCGGGCAAGAUCACCUCUGCAAUGAUUGAUCUCAACUCGAGGCCAAACCAGAUUCAUGGGCAGCCAAUAAAUACACAGGUGCAGGGGAUGAAUGCUUUAAGCAAUAGCAAUCACGAGUGUGCA